rnacentral:tRNA from 1 species
GGGCGUUUAGCUCAGCUGGUUCAGAGCAUCUGCCUUACUAGCAGAGGGUCGGCGGUUCGAAUCCGUCAACGCCCA